AUUCGGACCUCUCCCGGGCGCCGGCGGCGGGGUCCCGGGGCUGCCGCCGUUCGCGCCCCGUGCGCCCCGGGCACCGGCCGCCGAACUUCUUCCCGGGACGGAGACCGCGCUCGCGCCCUGGGCCGAGGUGGGAGCCCGCGGGGCUGCGUAGGGCGAGGGCGAAUGGCUCCCGGCGGCGGCGGUGGCGGUGGCCGCGGCCGCGGCGGCGGGGAGGGAGGUCCGGAGAGGUCAGCUGCACGGCGGGCAGCACCCCCCCGCCCCCCAGGACCCAGCGGCACCCGGUGGGCGCGGGGGUAGGCGCCCUGCCUUGGGCCGAGGUCCUCCGCUCCAGUUUUCAAGGCCCUGGCGGGACCCUGUGCCCCAGAAGCUGCCUCUGGACCUGUAGCUCCGGCAGGUCAAGACCCAGAGUGGAAGGUGGGGGGCACUUGGAUGCAGCCCCCCCCACCUCUCUCUCAGCCUGGCGAUUUCUCUACUGUCUGGAGCAGGGAUGUUGGGGCUGCGCAGCCCAGGAACUCCCUGCCUGGAGGAGAGCCAGCCUGGUCCCAGCUCCUCUCCCCCUCCGGGGUAGGGGUCCUUCAGUUUCAGAAAGUGAAAAAGCCACUUUGGGGCUGGGAGAGCCUUUUCUGCUGCCUGGGACCUGGUGGCGGUGCUGGUGGAUGUGCGGAAGAAGUGGUUCAGGGGACUGUCACUGCUCUGGGGACUCUGCUUGAUUCCUGGGCGGACAGGCUACACUCCAUACCUGAGGGUUCCAGAACACUGGACAGGGUGCUCAGGCCCAUCUGGCUCCCACAGCCCCCUGUGCAGGGCACAGCAUCAGCUCACCCUGGCCCUGGCCCUGCCUACCAGCUGCUCAUCUUGUCCCGACCUGUCCCGGGGGGUCAGCAGUGAGAGUCUCCGUCCAAGGCCCUGAGGUCUGGCCCCAGUGGGCCUGGCAGGCUGUGCGCUGGGGUCACCAGAGUUGGAACUGGGGCCGUUCCCCCAAGCCUCAGGGUCUGGCUCGGCCUGCCCCCCUUCCUGCCUGCCCUCUCAGGGCUCCAGCAGGGGGCGGGCGGGGGAAAGAAAAGGAAGGACAAGUUGAACUGGGUCCAUCUGGUGUCCAGGAGCCACUUGAAAGGGGGUGGGGGGAGGGGACAGGCGACGAGAGCUUGGCUUUGCCAAGGAGGGUUGGGUGGCUUUCUUGCUUCCCAGGCCAUUCUCACGGGGCUGUC
rnacentral:lncRNA from 12 species